rnacentral:rRNA from 1 species
GGACAUCAGGAGGUUAGUGCAAUGGCAUAAGCCAGCUUGACUGCGAGCGUGACGGCGCGAGCAGGUGCGAAAGCAGGUCAUAGUGAUCCGGUGGUUCUGAAUGGAAGGGCCAUCGCUCAACGGAUAAAAGGUACUCCGGGGAUAACAGGCUGAUACCGCCCAAGAGUUCAUAUCGACGGCGGUGUUUGGCACCUCGAUGUCGGCUCAUCACAUCCUGGGGCUGAAGUAGGUCCCAAGGGUAUGGCUGUUCGCCAUUUAAAGUGGUACGCGAGCUGGGUUUAGAACGUCGUGAGACAGUUCGGUCCCUAUCUGCCGUGGGCGCUGGAGAACUGAGGGGGGCUGCUCCUAGUACGAGAGGACCGGAGUGGACGCAUCACUGGUGUUCGGGUUGUCAUGCCAAUGGCACUGCCCGGUAGCUAAAUGCGGAAGAGAUAAGUGCUGAAAGCAUCUAAGCACGAAACUUGCCCCGAGAUGAGUUCUCCCUGAGACUUAGAGUCUCCUGAAGGAACGUUGAAGACGACGACGUUGAUAGGCCGGGUGUGUAAGCGCAGCGAUGCGUUGAGCUAACCGGUACUAAUGAACCGUGAGGCUUAACCUUACAACGCCGAAG